UACAGAGGGUGCAAGCGUUGUCCGGAAUUAUUGGGCGUAAAGGGCGCGUAGGCGGUGUGGUAAGUCUGAUGUGAAAACUCCAGGCUCAACUUGGAGAUUGCAUCAGAAACUGCCGUGCUAGAGUGUGGGAGAGGAGAGUGGAAUUCCUGGUGUAGCGGUGAAAUGCGUAGAUAUCAGGAGGAACACCGGUGGCGAAGGCGGCUCUCUGGACCACAACUGACGCUGAGGCGCGAAAGCUAGGGGAGCAAACAGG
rnacentral:rRNA from 1 species